CGCCCCGGGACCUUUUUGGCUCCUCCAGCCUCGAGUUCCAGGUGAGAUUUUGGGGAAUUUUGGGGAUUUUUUGGGAUUAUCCCAAAUAUUUUGGGGUUUUCCUUCCUCUCUUCUCUUUCCAGACUUUCUGAAGACGAAAUUCCGAAUUUCCCUCCGAGGUUUUUCCCGUUUUUUGGCGUUUUCACCCCAAAAUUCCCGUUUUUAUCCCAGUUCAAACCCCAAAUUUGAGCUUUUUUUGGGAAUUUUGGGAUUUAUUCCGAAUAUUUUGGGGUUCCCGCCCCCUUUAUCUCCUCCAGGUUUUCCCAGGCUGGAAUUCCCAAUUUCCCGCCUCAGUUUUUUCCCAUUUUUUGAGGUUUUCACCCGAAAAUUCAGUUAAAAAAUGAGCGUUUUUGGAGGUUUUGGGGGAAUUUUUGGGAUUUCUCCCAAAUUUUUGGGGCUCCGCAGCCCUUUCCCUCAUUUCGGAUUUUCUGGGAAUGGAAUUCCCAAAUUCCCACCCGGUUUUUUCCCCUUUUUUGCCGUUUUCACCCCAAAAUUCCCCCAAUAAAAACUGCAGCAACUCCUUCGUUCUGGGCUGUUUAUUUGGGAAUUUCCUGGGAAUUUCUCGGGAAUUCUCAGAGCCUCAUCUCGCAGUCAUGGCCGUGGGAUGUCUCCGGAAUUCCGGGAAUUCUCUGGAAUUCUCACAAUCUCAUCUUGUAGUCGCGGCCAUGGGAUGUCUCUGGAGCUCCGGAAUUCCGGGAUUUUUGGGAUUUUCUCUGGAAUUCUCACAGUCUCAUCUCGUAGUGGCGGCCGUGGGAUGUCUCCGGAAUUCCGGGAAUUCCCGGGAAUUCUCUGGAAUUGUCAGAGCCUCAUCUCACAGUCACGGCCGUGGGAUGUCUCCGGAGCUCCGGAAUUCCAGGAAUUCUCUGGAAUUCUCAGAGCCUCAUCUCGUAGUCGCAGCUGUGGGAUGUCUCCGGAGCUCUGGAGCUCCUGAAUUCCGGGAAUUCUCUGGAAUUCUCAGAGCCUCAUCUUGUAGUCGCGGCCGUGGGAUGUCUCUGGAGCUCUGGAGCUCCGGAAUUCCGGGAUUUUUGGGAUUUUCUCUGGAAUUCUCACAGUCUCAUCUCGUAGUCGCGGCCGUGGGAUGUCUCCGGAAUUCCGGGAUUUCCCAG
rnacentral:lncRNA from 1 species